AAAGAUUCACAUAGUUUGAAUCACAAAAAGCGAAAAGUAUCACAUAAAUUAAGAUAGAGGGAGGACGUAAUAUAAAAGGUUUUUUUUAGCAAAAACACACAUAAAUAAGCCUUCAACAAAUGAAAGAAGUCUGUAAAUUAGCAGGGAAUAAGUAAUGCAAUUAUCUUACCUUGAUCAAAGUAAAUCUCUAUUAUCUAUUGGUUUCUGGAACCAGGCCAAAGGUAGAAGGUGAAACCGCAGUCGCUUUAUUCCCUAUUUAACAAGGAACACGAGAGAAAUAUAAAGAUUUGUCUCAGCUCCCUUAUGAGAAUAAAGAAUAAGACAGUAUGAAUCACCUUUCAGAUUCAGGUUCAGGUUCUGGUUUAGGCUUUUUGGCAUCUUCAUUCUUCAGCACUGCAAACAUUUAGAGAAUUGUUUCUCAUCAUGAGACACAUUGUGAUUUUUUUUUCCAAAAGUAAGGUAGUAAUAGUAAUUAUAAAGUUGUUUUCAUCAUGCAACCUUUUUCUAUCAAUCUCGUAUUCGUACAACCUGUUGCAAAAGAAAUUACAAGAUUACCGUACGGACAAGAAAACACCAAUCAGUUUCUAAUAGAUUAUUACUAGUUCAUAUGAAUGGCAGAAGGCGGUUAAACGGCUUGGUGUAACAGUGAUGUAACCAUUUAAUGAGAAAGAAUACAAUAACGAGCAAAAAUAGAUUAACAAGUCUAACUUUAGUACUAAUUAUGUAGAUUUUUACACUAUCAUGUUAUAGAACUACAACUACAGAUAACUGUCCAUAAUAGGUGAAAGGAUUUAACUUACGUGUUAGCUUUUAACCAAAAUCAUUCUUAUUGUUUUAGCAACUUUCACUAUAUUCUUGUAAUAUUUCACUUAACUACAAACGUCCUUUAAGUUUCAGAAAUUGACCAAAAACAUCCCUCUGUUAAGUCUUUCCAUCCACUUAUAACAGAUUUCUUUUUCUCAUUGUGACCCUCAUUUUUUCCCUUUUCCCCCAAUGUCUUCCUUCUUACUUGCUUUGAACAGUAUCAGAUUCAUCUCUAUCAUUUGUAUCAAAAUAUGCAGAAUCCAGAAAAAUAUCAUAGAGAAACUAAAAAAUGUAUGCAGAAUGCAAAAAUUGUGGUGCAAAAACUGAAAUGUACGAGCACAAUGCAGAAAUUUCUGGAAAAAGAAAUUGAAAAUUAUGUACAGAAACUCCGUUGCAGAAAAAAAAAAUUGCAAGAAAUUUGAAGAUGAAAGCAUUCAUACAUUAUCAAGUUGUAGAACUACAACUACAAAUUACUGUCCAUAAUGUGAUAUGUACGGUCACAUACCUAAUAGCAAUACAACAUAUAACCUGUUUGAAUAGAUUAAAGUACACUAGUAUUAUAAUUUUUUAUGCAAUCAAUAGUAUUAUAAUUGUAAAAUUCAUUAACAUAUGAUCUGCUCUCUCUCUCUCUCUCUCUCUCUCUCAUGAAAAUUACAACUAGUAAACGGCAAAAAGGUAUCGGGUAAAGAAAAUUACUCGCAUACAGUUCUGUUGGCAAUAUAAGCUGCGGUCGUAUAAACAGGAGCUAAAACAACUGAAAUUGCAGGGGAAAACAAAGAAAUUGGGGAUUAGCAGUAUUAAAAAAGAAUUCGCAAGGUAGAAAAUGGUAGAGAGUAAAUGAAAGGAAACAAACUUGGGCGAAUGACGCUUUUAAACACAUUGGUGAUAGCUUUCAUGUUUAAGCUGAAACGCUGCAACAUAACUGUUACGCCAGGAAAAGAAGCAUUAAAACAAGAGAAAAUUAUGGUACAAUUUGUGCUUUGUUGCAAAAAUCUAGGAUGUAACCCUAGGGUUUUAGUGAAUCACGAUAAUGGUAGGAAAAUCACAUAGGAUAUUACCUUUGUCGAGGAGUGGAAUUGAGAAAGUCGGCAA
rnacentral:lncRNA from 1 species